GGACUGCGCCUUCGUGUGAAUGCCAACAUGAUAAUAUUCUGCAUGGUAAGAGCUGAUUUUUGUCAUUUGUAGACAUUGGUACUCCUGUUUUUGUUUAGUUAUCAACGUUAGCUCAAAAUAGACCCCUUAUAAAUACACUAGUUUUUAGUUGUGUGCAAAUAAACUAGAUUUUUUAGCGCUAGACUUUCUAGAAUAUAUUGUUUUCAUUUUAGAUAGCAUAUGUAUGCAAUUUAUUACUAUCUCAAGUUAAGAUCUGUAUUUGAUAAGAUUCAGACCAUUUAAAUUCAAUCCAAUAAGAUAUAUUUUAAGUUCUGAAGAUCGCUCUCAUACUAGAGAUCGAAUGAGAAGUCCGUGUGUGUUUUAUUCACUAAUGUAAUUUGUACAUUCAACCAGUCGCAACUCUCCAAGCGUCCGUAACCGCAGCCGAGGAGAGAUAUUAUAACGCCAUAUCGAACCAACAGGACAAGGUGGACAAGAAUUUAGUCAAGAAUAUGGUCAUCAAUUAUGUUUUGACACAGUCGAAUAACACUGUCAACAAGUAAGUUAAUACUAUUGAAGUGCUAUUUUUAUUUUGAUUCGUAUAAUAGCAUUGUGCAAUGGGUGGUGGUCACGACCCUCAGUAUUGAGAAAACCGAAGCAAAAAAAAAAAAAAAAAAAAAAAAAAAAAAAA
rnacentral:miRNA from 1 species